GACGAACGCUGGCGGCGUGCUUAACACAUGCAAGUCGAACGGUAAGGCCCUUCGGGUACACGAGUGGCGAACGGGUGAGUAACACGUGGUGAUCUGCCCUGCACUUCGGGAUAAGCCUGGGAAACUGGGUCUAAUACCGGAUAGGACCAUGGACUUCACGGUUUGUGGUGGAAAGCUUUUGCGGUGUGGGAUGGGCCCGCGGCCUAUCAGCUUGUUGGUGGGGUAAUGGCCUACCCAAGGCGACGACGGGUAGCCGGCCUGAGAGGGUGUCCGGCCACACUGGGACUGAGAUACGGCCCAGACUCCUACGGGAGGCAGCAGUGGGGAAUAUUGCACAAUGGGCGCAAGCCUGAUGCAGCGACGCCGCGUGAGGGAUGACGGCCUUCGGGUUGUAAACCUCUUUCAAUAGGGACGAAGCGCAAGUGACGGUACCUAUAGAAGAAGCACCGGCCAACU
rnacentral:rRNA from 1 species